UGGCAGAGUUCCGAAGCGGUCACAACGGCACCGAUUUGGAAUCGGUUGGAGGCAUUACGUCCCUACGAGGGUUCGAAUCCCUCUCCGCCAU
rnacentral:tRNA from 1 species